rnacentral:miRNA from 1 species
UGGACCUCUCCUCCCCAG